AACGCUAGCUACAGGCUUAACACAUGCAAGUCGAGGGGCAGCAUUAUCGAAGCUUGCUUUGAUAGAUGGCGACCGGCGCACGGGUGAGUAACGCGUAUCCAACCUUCCCCAUAGUCAGGAAUAGCCCGGCGAAAGUCGAAUUAAUGCCUGAUGUUUUCCACGGACGGCAUCUGAUGUGGAACAAAGAUUCAUCGCUAUGGGAUGGGGAUGCGUCUGAUUAGCUUGUUGGCGGGGUAACGGCCCACCAAGGCAACGAUCAGUAGGGGUUCUGAGAGGAAGGUCCCCCACAUUGGAACUGAGACACGGUCCAAACUCCUACGGGAGGCAGCAGUGAGGAAUAUUGGUCAAUAGGCGAGAGCCUGAACCAGCCAAGUAGCGUGAAGGAUGAAGGUCCUAUGGAUUGUAAACUUCUUUUAUAGUAGAAUAAAGUGAUCCACGUGUGGAUUUUUGUAUGUAUACUAUGAAUAAGGAUCGGCUAACUCCGUGCCAGCAGCCGCGGUAAUACGGAGGAUCCGAGCGUUAUCCGGAUUUAUUGGGUUUAAAGGGUGCGUAGGCGGAAAAAUAAGUCAGUUGUGAAAGUUUGCGGCUCAACCGUAAAAUUGCAGUUGAUACUGUCUUUCUUGAGUGUACAUAAGGUAGGCGGAAUUCGUGGUGUAGCGGUGAAAUGCUUAGAUAUCACGAAGAACUCCGAUUG
rnacentral:rRNA from 1 species